UCUUCGGAGAAAAAAAAAAACCAAGCCAAAUUUAACUGAAAACAAAAGUCUAACUGACACAAAACAGUGCCAGUUAGACUCAAAAUAGACAUAUCAUUUAGUCUGCCUCUCUGAGCUGCUCUUUAGAACCACAGUGAUGGCAGAACGUCAGAACUACAGACAUGGCUGAAUGUUUUGGGCAUUAUAGAACUGAUUUAACCCAACCACUGGUAUACAUGGGAUUAGUGUUGCCAUUUAAAAUGAAGCUUACUGAAAAUUUAA